UCCCUGGAGGACUAGUGGUUAGGUCUCGGCGCUCUCAAUAGUGCGGCCCGGGUUCAAUUCCUGGCCAGGGAA
rnacentral:tRNA from 1 species